rnacentral:misc_RNA from 1 species
GAUGAAGAACGUAGCGAAAUGCGAUACGUAAUGUGAAUUGCAAAUUCAGUGAAUCAUCGAAUCUUUGAACGCACAUUGCGCCCUUUGGUAUUCCAAAGGGCAUGCCUGUUCGAGCGUCAUUUGUACCCUCAAGCUUUGCUUGGUGUUGGGCGUCUUGUCUCUAGCUUUGCUGGAGACUCGCCUUAAAGUAAUUGGCAGCCGGCCUACUGGUUUCGGAGCGCAGCACAAGUCGCACUCUCUAUCAGCAAAGGUCUAGCAUCCAUUAAGCCUUUUUUUCAACUUUUGACCUCGGAUCAGGUAGGGAUACCCGCUGAACUUAAGCAUAUCAAUAAGCGGAGGA